UCUCCAACUGACGCCUCCAGAGGUUCUAAUUCCGUGACAAAAUAAGGCGGUUCUAAAGGAGAAAAGCUCACAAUCAGCGAACGGAACUACCGGAGAGCAAAGGACCCACCGUGCCUAUCCGAUAAAUCCAAAAUCCUUAAGAGAGUAAGAUAACACACCUAAGGUAGAUAUCAGCGCUUCGCAAGCAUCCCUUCCUGCCUCGUUUUCAAUCUCACAGGAGUAGUGCCCUGCAUCUCCCUUUGUGCUGCUCAGAAUUUCCAGGAUGCAGGUUUUCUCUGUGGUGACAAUGCUGCAUCUUUCAGACGGAGUUAUGCUGACACCAUCUUUUUUCCAGGUGACAGAAAUUGGGAGUGUUCCAGUAUAGGUGCCCUCCAGAAUGACAGACUUCCCAGGUUCUACAGAGUGAUCGCUUAGUUUCUUUACAAACGUGGCUGGCUCUGCCAGGUGACUUGCAAUGGCGUCGUCCCCAUGACUUCACACUCCAGCUCCACAUCGCUGUCCUUGACCACCUCCACGGGCUCCAGCUCCCUGAUAAAGGUGGGAGGCUCUACAGAGUUGAAAGGAAGACAGAGAGCGGCUUAGCUCGAGAGAAGCCCUGGAGCCAGCAGACAGCCCCGCUGAAACACAAAGCGGGGGCCCUCACAAACCUUUCACUUUCAGCUCAAUGCUGCAGCUCGCGGAGCCCGCGUCAUUUCGAGCUUCACAGACGUAGGUCCCACUGUUCUCUACCCUGGCAUUAGAAAUCUGGAAAGUGGCUAAGCCAUCCACAAAAGAAAUGCCGUACUUCCUAAGAUCUGUUAUUUCAUUCCCAUCCAGAUACCAAGACACUCUGAUUUCGGGAGUGCCCGUUACUUGGCAUUCAAACGUUGUUGACUGUCCAUUCCUCAGCACUAACACUGGACUGGGCUUCUUAAUAAACUGAGGAGGUUCUAAAGAUGAGAAAAGAAAGAGAGUGACAUGCUGAAUUUUUAUUUA